UACGAAGGGGGCUAGCGUUGCUCGGAAUCACUGGGCGUAAAGCGCACGUAGGCGGAUUGUUAAGUCAGGGGUGAAAUCCUGGAGCUCAACUCCAGAACUGCCUUUGAUACUGAGGAUCUUGAGUUCGGGAGAGGUGAGUGGAACUGCGAGUGUAGAGGUGAAAUUCGUAGAUAUUCGCAAGAACACCAGUGGCGAGGCGGCUCACUGGCCCGGUACUGACGCUGAGGCACGAAAGCGUGGGGAGCAAACAGGG
rnacentral:rRNA from 1 species